UACGGAGGGUGCAAGCGUUAUCCGGAUUCACUGGGUUUAAAGGGUGCGUAGGCGGACAGGUAAGUCAGUGGUGAAAUCUCUGGGCUUAACUCAGAAACUGCCGUUGAUACUAUUUGUCUUAAAUGUCAUGGAGGUAAGCGGAAUAUGUCAUGUAGCGGUGAAAUGCUUAGAUAUGACAUAGAACACCGAUAGCGAAGGCAGCUUACUACAUGAAGAUUGACGCUGAGGCACGAAAGCGUGGGGAGCAAACAGG
rnacentral:rRNA from 1 species